CAGCGCCACGAGUGGCAACCGCGAUUAUUGGGCCUAAAGCGUCCGUAGCCGGUUUGGUAAAUCCUUUGUGAAACUGUGCAGCUUAACUGUACAACGUGCAAGGGAGACUGCCAAACUCGAGACCGGGAGGAGUUAGAAGUAUUCCAGGGGGAGCGGUAAAAUGUUAUAAUCCCUGGAGGACUACCUGUGGCGAAGGCGUCUAACUAGAACGGAUCUGACGGUGAGGGACGAAAGCCAGGGGAGCGAACCGGAUUAGAUACCCGAGUAGUCC
rnacentral:rRNA from 1 species